rnacentral:rRNA from 1 species
GGUCAAGUUAUUAAGGGUGCAGGGCGGAUGCCUUGGCACUAGGAGCCGAUGAAGGACGUGAUAAGCUGCGAUAAGCUUCGGGGAGUUGCACGUAAACUUUGAUCCGAAGAUUUCCGAAUGAGGAAACUCACUUAGAGUAAUGUCUAAGUAUCAUUAAGUGAAUACAUAGCUUAAUGAGGGGAACUCAGGGAACUGAAACAUCUAAGUACCUGAAGGAAGAGAAAGAAAUUCGAUUCCGUAAGUAGCGGCGAGCGAACGCGGAUUAGCCCAAACCAAUAAAGUUUUCUUUAUUGGGGUUGCGGACAUAUCAUAACGAAGAGGUAUCGUAAUUGAAGAGGUUUGGAAAGACCCACCACAGAAGGUAAUAGUCCUGUAUGUUAAACGAGAAGACUUUAGAUAUGAUCCAGAGUACCACGGGACACGUGAAACCCUGUGGGAAGCAGGAGGGACCACCCUCCAAGGCUAAAUACUACCUAGUGACCGAUAGCGUAUAGUACCGUGAGGGAAAGGUGAAAAGAACCCCGGGAGGGGAGUGAAAUAGAACCUGAAACCCUGCACUUACAAGCUGUGGAAGCACAUUUCUUGUGUGACCGCGUACUUUUUGUAGAACGGGCCAACGAGUUACGUU